rnacentral:rRNA from 1 species
UCACUCCUACGGGGAGGCAGCAGUGGGGGAAUAUUGCACAAUGGGCGCAAGCCUGAUGCAGCCAUGCCGCGUGUGUGAAGAAGGCCUUCGGGUUGUAAAGCACUUUCAGUCGUGAGGAAGGUGGUAGUGUUAAUAGCACUAUCAUUUGACGUUAGCGACAGAAGAAAGCACCGGCUAACUCCGUGCCAGCAGCCGCGGUAAUACGGAGGGUGCGAGCGUUAAUCGGAAUUACUGGGCGUAAAGCGCAUGCAGGUGGUUUGUUAAGUCAGAUGUGAAAGCCCGGGGCUCAACCUCGGAAUAGCAUUUGAAACUGGCAGACUAGAGUACUGUAGAGGGGGGUAGGAAUUUCAGGUGUAGCGGUGAAAUGCGUAGAGAUCUGAAGGAAUACCGGUGGCGAAGGCGGCCCCCUCGGACAGAUACUGACACUCAGAUGCGAAAGCGUGGGGAGCAAACAGGAUUAGAUACCCUGGUAG